rnacentral:rRNA from 1 species
AUUGAACGCUGGCGGCAUGCCUUACACAUGCAAGUCGAACGGCAGCACGGGAGCAAUCCUGGUGGCGAGUGGCGAACGGGUGAGUAAUAUAUCGGAACGUGCCCAGUCGUGGGGGAUACCGCAGCGAAAGCUGUGCUAAUACCGCAUACGAUCUACGGAUGAAAGCGGGGGAUCGCAAGACCUCGCGCGAGUGGAGCGGCCGAUAUCAGAUUAGCUAGUUGGUGAGGUAAAGGCUCACCAAGGCGACGAUCUGUAGCUGGUCUGAGAGGACGACCAGCCACACUGGAACUGAGACACGGUCCAGACUCCUACGGGAGGCAGCAGUGGGGAAUUUUGGACAAUGGGCGCAAGCCUGAUCCAGCAAUGCCGCGUGCAGGAUGAAGGCCUUCGGGUUGUAAACUGCUUUUGUACGGAGCGAAACGGUCUUUCCUAAUACGAGAGGCUAAUGACGGUACCGUAAGAAUAAGCACCGGCUAACUACGUGCCAGCAGCCGCAGUAA